rnacentral:rRNA from 1 species
UGUGCCAGCCGCCGCGGUAAUACGAAGGGUGCAAGCGUUAAUCGGAAUUACUGGGCGUAAAGCGCGCGUAGGUGGUUCAGUAAGUUGGAAGUGAAAUCCCCGGGCUCAACCUGGGAACUGCUUUCAAAACUGCUGAGCUAGAGUACGGUAGAGGGUGGUGGAAUUUCCUGUGUAGCGGUGAAGUGCGUAGAUAUAGGAAGGAACACCAGUGGCGAAGGCGACCACCUGGACUGAUACUGACACUGAGAUGCGAAAGCGUGGGGAGCAAACAGGAUUAGAUACCCUGGUAGUCCACGCCGUAAACGAUGUCAACUAGCCGUUGGGAGUCUUGAACUCUUAGUGGCGCAGCUAACGCAUUAAGUUGACCGCCUGGGGAGUACGGCCGCAAGGUUAAAACUCAAAUGAAUUGACGGG